rnacentral:tRNA from 1 species
GCGCUCGUAGCUCAGUGGAAACAGAGCAAGGAGCUUCUACCUCCUGGGUCGCUGGUUCGAAUCCAGCCGAGCGCU